rnacentral:rRNA from 1 species
AUGGCUUUCAUAAAGAACACAGUUGAGAACGCUAUUGUGGGCUCAAUUGCAGAGUGUACUUCCAUAGGGGAGUAUCUUGAAAAGAUAAAGAGCCAGUUCACUGGUUCUUCAAAGAUAUAUGCUACCCAGUUGCUAAGGCAACUGGUGACAGAAAAGUACACAGGCGGUGGACAUGGCAUACGAGAGCACAUCCUCAGGAUGAGCAACAUGGAAGCUAAGCUUAAACAAAUGGAUGAGGAUUUGGAGCUCAAGCCUGCACUCCUUGUUCACCUGGUCAUGGCUCCACUGCCAAAAGAGUUUGACACUUUUGUUGUCAACUACAACAUGUAG